UCUGGUGAUAAUGGCUUGAAGGUAACACCCGUUCCCAUUCCGAACACGACGGUUAAGCUUCAAUGUGCCGAUGAUACUACAAGGGAGGCCUUGUGGGAAAGUAGGUCGUCGCCAGGU
rnacentral:rRNA from 1 species